AUGCUUGCUUUAGCAGCAUAUAUACUAAAAUUGGAAGAAUAUGGAGAUUAGCAUGGCCCCUGUGCAAGGAUGACAUGCAAAUUCAUGAAGUGUUCCAUAUUUUU
ensembl:snRNA U6 U6 spliceosomal RNA